CUUGACGGAGCCGAGCAGCAGCGGCCGCCCGGGGUCGCGGUCCUGGCCGUAGGUGGCGAGGAGCGCCUGGGCCUC
rnacentral:antisense_RNA from 2 species